rnacentral:rRNA from 1 species
UUUCCCAGUCACGAUAGUGGUACCCUGAGUAGGGCGGGACACGAGGAAUCCUGUCUGAAUCUGCCGGGACCAUCCGGUAAGGCUAAAUACUCCUGAGAGACCGAUAGUGAACCAGUACUGUGAAGGAAAGGUGAAAAGCACUUCGAAUAGAAGAGUGAAAUAGUUCCUGAAACCAUGUGCCUACAAGCGGUCGGAGCAGCCUUGUGCUGUGACGGCGUGCCUUUUGCAUAAUGAACCUACGAGUUACUUUUUCCGGCAAGGUUAAGGGUCUUGAGACCUGCAGCCGAAGCGAAAGCGAGUCUUAACAGGGCGAUUUAGUCGGAAGGAGUAGACGCGAAACCAAGUGAUCUACCCUUGGCCAGGUUGAAGGUUAGGUAACACUAACUGGAGGACCGAACCGAUAAGCGUUGAAAAGCUUCCGGAUGAGUUGAGGGUAGGGGUGAAAGGCUAAUCAAACUUGGAGAUAGCUCGUACUCCCCGAAAUGCAUUUAGGUGCAGCCUUGUUUAUUACUAAUGUGAGGUAGAGCGACUGAUAAGAUGCGAGGGCUUCACCGCCUAUCAAGUCUUGAUAAACUCCGAAUGCGCAUUAGUUUGAGAACAGGAGUGAGGGCGCGGGUGCUAAGGUCCGCGUCCGAGAGGAGAAGAAUCCAGACCAUCAGCUAAGGUCCCCAAAUAACCGCUGAGUUGAACUAACGAAGUCAGAUUGCUAAGACAGCUAGGAUGUUGGCUUGGAAGCAGCCAUUCAUUUAAAGAGUGCGUAACAGCUCACUAGUCGAGGAAUUUGGCGUGGAUAAUAAUCGGGCAUAAGCGGUUUACCGAAGCUAUGGAACCAUUUAUGGUUGGUAGGGGAGCAUUCCACUCUGCGUUGAAGGCGAAGCGUCAGCUUCUCUGGAGCGUGUGGAAACGCAAAUGUAGGUAUAAGUAACGAUAAAGGGGGUGAGAAACCCCCUCGCCGAAAGACUAAGGUUUCCUGAUCAACGCUAAUCGGAUCAGGGUUAGUCGGGUCCUAAGGCUCCGCCGAAAGGCAAUGCCGAUGGCUGAAAUGGUUAAUAUUCCAUUACUACCUUUAAGAGUGAUGUGGGGACGGAGUAGUGACAGUGCCGCGAACUGACGGAAUAGUUCGUUAAAGGGUGUAGAAGUUGAGGAAUGCAGGCAAAUCCACAUUCCGAUUCGAACCUGAUAGUAUGGAGCGUCUUCGGACAAUCCAAUAGUGCAUGUAAUCAGACUUCCAAGAAAAUCCGCUAAACUUAAUCUUCUAGGUACCCGUACCGUAAACGGACACACGUAGUCGGGUUGAAUAUACUAAGGCGCUUGAGUGAAUCACGGUUAAGGAACUAGGCAAAUUGACCCUGUAACUUCGGGAUAAAGGGUCCCUCCUCGCAAGAGAGGGCGCAGAGAAUAGGUCCAGGCAACUGUUUAACAAAAACACAGGGCUGUGCAAAAUCGAAAGAUCACGUAUACAGCCUGACACCUGCCCGGUGCUGGAAGGUUAAGAGGAGAUGUUAUCGCAAGAGACGCAUUGAAUUGAAGCCCCAGUAAACGGCGGCCGUAACUAUAACGGUCCUAAGGUAGCGAAAUUCCUUGUCGGGUAAGUUCCGACCUGCACGAAUGGUGUAAUGAUCUGGACACUGUCUCAACCGUGAGCUCAGUGAAAUUGUAGUAUCGGUGAAGAUGCCGAUUACCCGCGAUGGGACGAAAAGACCCCGUGAACCUUUACUAUAGCUUAACAUUGAAUUUGGGCCAUUGAUGUGUAGGAUAGGUCGGAGACUAUGAAGCGGGUACGCUAGUAUUCGUGGAGUCGCUGUUGAAAUACGACCCUUUGAUUGUUUGAAUUCUAACCCGUUUUUAAUGGGGACACUGUUUGGUGGGUAGUUUGACUGGGGUGGUCGCCUCCAAAAGUGUAACGGAGGCUUCUAAAGGUACCCUCAGGACGAUUGGUAACCGUCCGUAGAGUGUAAUGGCAUAAGGGUGCUUGACUGGGAGACCGACAAGUCGAUCAGGUAGGAAACUAGAGCAUAGUGAUCCGGUGUUUCUGUAUGGAAAGGACAUCGCUCAAAGGAUAAAAGGUACUCCGGGGAUAACAGGCUGAUCCCUCCCAAGAGCUCAUAUCGACGGAGGGGUUUGGCACCUCGAUGUCGGCUCGUCACAUCCUGGGGCUGGAGAAGGUCCCAAGGGUUGGGCUGUUCGCCCAUUAAAGUGGCACGCGAGCUGGGUUCAGAACGUCGUGAGACAGUUCGGUCUCUAU